UGGGGAAUCUUUGACAAUGGGGGAAACCCUGAUCUAGCCAUGCCGCGUGAGUGACGAAGGCCCUAGGGUCGUAAAGCUCUUUCGCCAGGGAUGAUAAUGACAGUACCUGGUAAAGAAACCCCGGCUAACUCCGUGCCAGCAGCCGCGGUAAUACGGAGGGGGUUAGCGUUGUUCGGAAUUACUGGGCGUAAAGCGCGCGUAGGCGGACUAUUAAGUCAGGGGUGAAAUCCCGGGG
rnacentral:rRNA from 1 species